GGUUGAUUGCCCGGGUGACUGGGGAGAACACUGACAGCCACUGCGGUUCCACUGAGACCUUCAGCCGCAGAGACCAAAGACCAGCAACAUCAGACAGCCAAAUUACCUGCCCUGUAAUUGGUCCUCAGGCGCUGAUGAAUGUGGCCAUAAGAACGGGCAGGCAGCGCAUGUUUUUAAACGUUUGCAUUCCGUAGUCGAUCCCCUGACCGCUACAGUGAAUAGGAAUUUGCAGACAAGCUGCUCACAAACCAGCCCCUGGUUCAUCCGUGGGUACUCAAGAACCUUAUCGAUGUUCCCUGCCCUCGCCGCUCGCAGGAAGCUGGUGUUGCUGUCCGACUGUAGAAAAAGAAAGCACAGAGAAAGACAUAGCUCAGA
ensembl:lncRNA